rnacentral:rRNA from 1 species
GGCAGCAGUGGGGGAUAUUGCACAAUGGGGGAAACCCUGAUGCAGCGACGCCGCGUGGAGGAAGAAGGUUUUCGGAUUGUAAACUCCUGUCGUUAGGGACGAUAAUGACGGUACCUAACAAG